UACGUAGGUGGCAAGCGUUGUCCGGAUUUAUUGGGUUUAAAGGGUGCGUAGGCGGGUUGAUAAGUCAGUGGUGAAAGCCCAACGCUUAACGUUGGAACUGCCAUUGAUACUGUCGAUCUUGAAUGUGUUUGAUGUGGGCGGAAUAUGACAUGUAGCGGUGAAAUGCUUAGAUAUGUCAUAGAACACCGAUUGCGAAGGCAGCUCACAAAGCCACUAUUGACGCUGAGGCACGAAAGCGUGGGGAUCAAACAGG
rnacentral:rRNA from 1 species